rnacentral:rRNA from 1 species
UACGUCCCGGGCCUUGUACACACCGCCCGUCACACCACGAAAGUCAGUUGCAACAGAAGCGGCCCGCAAGGGCAACCAAGUUGUGAUUGGUGAUUGGGGUG